CAAUCAGCUUCCAACAGCCCGAGUGCAUGAGAGUUUUAGGUGACACUCUAGUCCUAACAAGGGCCUAUGGCGUACUUAUCACAAGACCAGCAGAGGGAAGAGAAGACGCCCUGGGGAUGCUGGCCUUAGGAACAGCUGAAUUUUCACUAAGCAAGAGAUCCUCUUCUGCAGACUCCUGGAUAUAUGACUGGAGCUGGACUAAGGAACAGGUGUCCAAGCAGUUCAUCUGUAAAGAGAGGUCAGGCAUCAGAAGCUUCAUGGUGUUGGGAUCUCCAAGGAAAGGAAUUUGAUAUCCACUUACUAAGAAAGCCGCCCGCCUGCUGAAUCAGAGUUUUACCCACUGGGAGACUGCAGAAGAGCUCUGAUUCCAUUCACCAGCUGUCAUCCACCCAGGCCUUUCCACCAGAUGUUUCUGCUUUGGAGCCAGCCGACCAUGGACUGAAACUGAAGGAAAAAAGAAGAAGCAUUGACGGUGCCUGCUAACAGUGACGUGCAUCACAGCAUUAACAGGUGAGAAAACGGUGUGGCUCAGAAAAUUCUCUUUUUGCAACCCAGCUCACAGCCAACAAAGGCCUGCAGUGCCAGCAGCCCCUCUGCUAGCACACCCCAGUUUAUCCAUCAGUCACAAGUGACGAUCUCCUCCCUGCCCCUCCCCGCCCCAUAGGCCCAAUUCCCAACUCCAGUCCUGUCAUCCCAAAGAGCAAGCCGUGUAAUGUCACGGGAGCAUCCGCAGGAUGCUUUCCUGUCCCAGCAAGAGAAAUGCUUGGUGUGCAGGGGGGAGCCUGGGGGAAGGUCCGAGGCCUGGACAGCAGUGGCGGCUGACAAGUCAGGGAAGUGAGCAGUGAGGAGGGGAGUGCACUGAUAAGACUGGCUGUGGGGAGAAAGGGAAGAAGAAAGGACUUAGGGCUCUGCCCUGCUCCUGGCUGGUUGCUGAGACAGCCACCCAGGAGAGAAACCGGGCUUUCGGUAAGAGAACGCCAGGGCUGGACCCACCUGGGCAGAGCACUGAGUGUGCCCGAGGCUCCCCUUUCCCAUGCCACUAGCUCUGUGGGUUUGGGGAGGGACCCUGAAAGCCCAGCAGAGCUGGAUUAGGCCAACCAUGCCCCCCACCCCCAGCGACCACCUGCCAGGCCUCCUUCUUCAGGUUCAGACAUGUUCUCUCUCUCUCUGUGUCUCUCCCUCAGAGAUGGACACCAAGUGCUGUCUGUGCCUCUCAUUCACCCCUUAGUACACUGUUCUCAAUCUACAGUGUGUAUUCAGGCUGCCGCCUGGGACCACCCAUUAAUAGCCCCAGCAAGGUCUGCAUAGGGGCGAGGUGGGCCUGGGGUCCCAGUUGGCUCCACCUCUUCCAGAUGAGCUACUCGGCUUAUGCUGAUUUGUGCCUCCUGCAGUGUACCACAGGGAUAAGGGGAGUAUGUGCUUCAGAAGUUCGUGGUAGCCAUCAAAUGGGAUCAGGCUCUGAAGGUAGCUCAGACUGUCUGCCUGGCCCUUGGUACAUGCUCGCUAAGAACUUCUCCCUCUUCUUUCCUCUUUCUCCCUUCUUUUUCUUCUCUGCUUGUUUCUACAGUGUAGAUAUUGGUUUCUGUGGCUGCCAUAACAAGUUGCCUCAAACUUGGUGUCUUAAAACAACAGGAUCCUACUAAAUUAAUGCAGAAAUGAAGCCACUCAUUCAUUCACUCACUCUCCAACAGUUCUGGAGGCCCAAAGUCUGAAAUCAAACUGUCAGGAGAGCUACUCUCCCUUCAAGGACUCUAGGGCAAGGUCUGUCCUUGCCUCUUCAGCUUCUGGUGGUCCCGGGUGUUCCUUGACUUAUAUCCACAUCACUCCAGUCUGUUUCCAUCUUCACCUCACCUUCCCCAUGUUUGCCUUCUGCCUUUUACUUAUAAGGAUUCAUCCUUGGAUUUAAGGUCCACCAGCAUAACUCAGGAUGACCACAUCGUGAGAUCCUUCACUUAACUACACCUUCGAAGACCUUUUUCCAAAUAAGGUCAUAGUCACAGGCUGUGGGUUGACACAUCUUUGGGGAAGGGGGUAUCAUUCAAUACACCACAGUAUAAAUGUCAGCAUUUCUCAAAGACCCCAGGCUGGGAUACCAAGCCACCUUCACCUUCUCUGAACUGGGCACCUGCCAGACACUCUCAGAGCUAAGCUCCCGUAGCCAAAACAGGGGACAAGACCACAGCUUAGGUCAACUCUGUGGAACUCAUGGGAAACAGGGUCUUGGAGAUCAGGUGACUCCAUGCCAAGUGGCUCUCCCCCUUCCCAACAAACCUGGAGACACACACCAGCAUCAGCCAUGCACCCCGGAGUGCAGAGGGUGGGACGAGCUUAUCCUAGCCUUGGAGCUAAAGUCCUGACUACGAUAUCUGUCACCUUGGACCCAGUUCUCCAGGCAAAAUAGCAGCAGCAUGCUCUGGUAAGGCUUCAAAGCAGGGGAGUGGAAACAUCUUUAAGAGACGCCAGCCCAUUUCCCCUACCUGCAUAGCCUUGAGGCUUGAGACUGAUCUUUCUCCUGUGUCAGACAGGACAAACUUAUGCUCCCUGUGCUGGGAAAAGCAAGGACUCUGGCAGAAAGCCAGAGCUCGAGGGUGGGGAUGGGGUGCCCAUGUGCCUCAGCCUUCCUGGCACAUCUCUAAGAAUGCAGUGAUGGAACAGAGCAAGAGAAAGACCAUGUUUUUCACCGAAAGGGGAGGGGACAAUCCUGCGACCAAUUUCAGUGAUUAGCCACAAGAAGAGGGCCCUUUAUUCCAGGCAUGUGUAUGCUUUUUAAUUUCCUCUUGUGGGCUCCUGAGGGGCCCAGUAACCGUGCAAUUAGUAUUCCUCUCCAGCCUUGGAGGACGUGGGCUGCUCUCGGAGAUGGCUCCAGGUGGGAGCCAGUACCACUUGCACUCCCAGCCUCCCGUUUACUGCCCAGUUCCAAAACCCCAUGGCAAGGGGAAGGAGAGGCAGCGCCCUCCCAGCACCCAGGUGGGUUGUCCCUCAAGGGUGAAGAGGUGACAGGUGACUUCUAGCCUUCCCGCUUUGUGGGAAACAAAAUAAAAAUGCUUUACUGGGAAGGAAAAGGCUUGGCUGACCUUAAGCAAUUAAUGUAGAUGUUACAAACCAGGCCAACUUGGGGGUGGAAAAUUGCAUUACAAGAAGACCUUUUGCUUCACAAAAAGAGUUCUGGAGGCUGCAAAAGAUGGCUCCCCACGGAGGUUAAAGAGUCCAUCUACAAAACAGUGAUUCAACUGGACAAUGCAGCUCUGUUGUGAAAAGCCAGCGCAGCUACUGACUUCCACCAGCCUGGUCACCCCAGAUGCUUUGUACCCUUA
rnacentral:lncRNA from 1 species